rnacentral:rRNA from 1 species
CAAUGGGCGAAGCCUGAUCCAGCCAUGCCGCGUGAGUGAAGAAGGCCUUCGGGUUGCUAAAGCUCUUUCGGUCGGGAAGAAAUGGCGUGUCUAAUACAUGGCGUCGAUGACGGUACCACCAGCAAGAAGCACCGGUCUAACUACGUGCCAGCCAGCCGCGGUAAUA